CCCUUAGACGUUCUGGGCCGCACGCGCGCUACACUGACGGAGCCAGCGAGUAUAAACCUUGGCCGAGAGGUCUGGGAAAUCUUGUGAAACUCCGUCGUGCUGGGGAUAGAGCAUUGUAAUUAUUGCUCUUCAACGAGGAAUUCCUAGUAAGCGCAAGUCAUCAGCUUGCGUUGAUUACGUCCCUGCCCUUUGUACACACCGCCCGUCGCCACUACCGAUUGAAUGGCUUAGUGAGGCUUCCGGAUUGGUUUAGAGAAGGGGGCAACUCCAUCUUGGAACCGAGAAGCUAGUCAAACUUGGUCAUUUAGAGGAAGUAAAAGUCGUAACA
rnacentral:rRNA from 1 species